GAAUGCGAUCCUACCAGCACUAAUGCACUUGAUCCUAUCAGAACACCGCAGUUAAGCGUGCUUGGGCGAGAGUAGUACUAGGAUGGGUGACCUCCAGGAAAGUCUUCGUGUUGCAUCCC
rfam:Arabidopsis thaliana chromosome 3, complete sequence.